rnacentral:tRNA from 1 species
CUUUAGAUGGCAGAUUAGUGCCUUGAAUUUAGAAUUCAAACAAGUAAUAUUACAAUUACUCUAAAGA